UAAGAAAAAUAAAUAAUAAGUAAAUAUAUAAUAUAAGAAAUAGAAAACUACAUUAAACAUCUAUCAGAAAAAUGAAUAGUAAAAUAAAUAUUAAUUAAAUAUAUUGAAUAAGAAAUAUAAAUAUUACAUUAAACAUUCAUCGUAAUAUUAGAAUUUGAUAUAAAAGCAAAACAAUUAGAAUAAGUAAAUAUAUAAUAAAAAAAAUAAGUAAAUAUACAAUAUUAGAAUAGGUAAAUAUUCAGAUACAUAACCUAAAAAUAAUUUGUAUUUAAUUCUUUGACAAGUUUUGAAAUUAAGAACACUUUAAUUUGACUAUAGUCAUACUUUAUAUGCAAAAUAUAGUAAAAACAUUUCUAUGAAUUUCAAAACUUGUCAAUUACUUUGGCAAGAAAAUCUUGUCAAUUAUUUGAUAUUUAAGGGAUUUGAUCAUUUUUAUAAGACUAUAAUAAUUUGGUUUUAAUUGUAUUAUAAAUAUAAUUAUCCAUAUAAUUUUAAACUUGGAUCUGAUGACUUUUGAGUUAUUAAUUACACAAAAUCAUGAAGUUUUUAAGCAUAUCCUCAAAUUUGGAUAUAUAUAAUUAAUUUUUGGUUGACAGUAUUUUCACAAUUUCACAUAUAAAUACUUCUUUGAUAAAUUUUUUAUUAUGCAUCUUACUUAAUAAUCUGCAUAUUUCUUCCAAAAAAAAAAUUAUGAUGGAAACUCUAGGAACCGAUACUAAAUAUGGUCAUUGUUGCGUUUGAAUGGAGAAAAACAAAAUAUGUGCCAGAAAAUGAAUUUGCUGCAUAUUUUCUAAAUGAACUGCAAAGCGAUUAUGAAGCUGCUAAUAAAUUGUUUGGCAUAACAAAUAUUAUAUGAAUAAUGAAACUUGCUCCCCAUGAAUAAAAACAUUUGUUAGCAUCAUCAAUACUCAAAGAAUGUGCUGCAAGGACCGAUGAUAAUAUCAAAGGUAGAUAUGGAGUGAUACAGAAGCUGAUGUGGGAAAUCAAAUUACAUGAAGUCUACCUUUCUGAGAUACGGAAGAAGAAAAAAACAAUUAGUUCUACUUUCAAAUGAGUAUAUAUAAUGAAAUUUAUCUAUCUUCAUUUAUCAAAUAAUAAUUAUUUAAUGGUUAAUCAUAUCAAAUGUUAAAAUUUAAAACAUACCAUGAGCACAACGUAAUUGUUGAGAGUUAAUCACUUAAUCGUACAUGUGUUAUAGUGAUCAUAAAAAAGAGACACUUUGAAACCUAAAAAUUAUAUCAAAUGUCAAAAAGCAAUUUUUAAUGGCACUUUCAAAUUGUAAAUAUUUAGCAAUUUUCUCAUUUGGCUAUUGAAAAUUUUAAACUUUUUUUCAUUGAACAACCAAUUCAGUAGUUAAUAAUUUCUUCUAUUAUACAUUUUGUAAUGAUAAUACAAAUAUGUGAGUUGAAAAUAUUUUUAUGUAUACAAGAUUGACAAAUAAAAAUCUAUACUAAUAAAAAAAACAUUUUGAGGCUACAUGAGAUGUCCACAUAGCGAAAUAAUUUCUCCCGAAAAAUGCCAAGUGGCUUUAUUACUAAAAAAUAAAAAACUGAAUAAUAAGUAUAUAUAAAAUAUAAGAAAAUAUAAAUAAUAAGUAAUAUACAUACAAGAAAAAAUAAGUAAAUAUACAAUAUAAGAAAUAGAAAAACUAAAUUAAACAUCUAUAUGAAAAUAUAUAGUUAAAUAAAUAAUAAGUAAAUAUACAACAUCAAAAAAAAUUAUUAUA